CCCUGGGCCCAAGCAAUUCUCCCACAUCGACCUUCCCACAUCAGCCUCCAGAGUAACUAGGGCUACAGACACAUAUCACAGCACCCGGCUAAUUUUUUUUUUUUUUUCUAGAGACUGGGUUUCCCCAUGUUGCCCAGGCUGGCCUUGUACUCCUGGCCUCAAGCGAUCUUCCUGCCUUGGCCUCCCAAAGUGCUGGGAUUACAGGUGUGAGCCACUGCGUAAGCCACAUUAAGGACAUGGAUGAAACUGGAAACCAUCAUUCUCAGCAAACUAUCGCAAGGACAAAAAACCAAACACUGCAUGUUCUCACUCAUAGGUGGGAAUCGAACAAUGAGAACACAUGGACACAGGAAGGGGAACAUCACACACCGGGAACUGUUGUGGGGUGGGGGGAGGGGGGAGGGACAGCAUUAGGAGAUAUACCUAAUGUUAAAUGACGAGUUAAUGGGUACAGCACACCAACAUGGCACAUGUAUACAUAUGUAACUAACCUGCACAUUGUGCACAUGUACCCUAAAACUUAAAGUAUAAUAAUAAUAAAAUUAAAAAAAAAUCAUUGCCUUUAAUUGGUAUAGUUAGAACAUUUACAUUUAAAGCAAAUAUUUAUGGCACUGCAUUAAUAUUAAUAUCAAUCAUGAUUUUAUUAUUUUGUAUUUAUUGCACUUACUCGUUUUUUCUUCCUCUUCAUUUUUUCAUUCUCUGAUUUAAAUUUUGCAUACAAUUUAAUAUUAUUUCUUCUCUUAAGAAAUAAACUCUGCUUUCUAAAGAAGAAAAUAUCGAUUAUCUUAGAGUUUGUAAUAUACAUUUAUAGGAAUCUGGGUCCACUUUCAGAUGGCUCCUUAAAAGGGAAUAUUUCCAACUCUUGCUUCUGUUUCUUUAUAAAUUUGCUGUGAUUUAAUUCACUUAUCUGUAUGCUGUAAUCAAACAAUACAUUGUUACUCUUAUUACUGUGAACAAAAAAUUAAAUAGUAGAUAAAGUAAGAA
ensembl:lncRNA novel transcript